rnacentral:rRNA from 1 species
UACAGGGGGGGCAAGCGUUGUCCGGAAUCACUGGGCGUAAAGGGCGCGUAGGCGGUCUGCUAAGCGUGUGGUGAAAGCCCGGGGCUCAACCCCGGGUCGGCCAUGCGAACUGGCGGACUGGAGCUUGUCAGAGGCAGGCGGAAUUCCGGGUGUAGCGGUGGAAUGCGUAGAGAUCCGGAAGAACACCGGUGGCGAAGGCGGCCUGCUGGGACAGUGCUGACGCUGAGGCGCGACAGCGUGGGGAGCAAACAGG